GUACUCUCAAGCCUUGCUUGGUGUUGGGUGUUUGUCUUCGCCUCGCUUAGACUCGCCUUAAAUAUAUUGGCAGCCGGUAUACUGGUUUGAAGCGCAGCACAAUUGCAUUUCAGGCUCUUAGUACUAGCAUCCACAAAGAUUAUCAACAC
rnacentral:misc_RNA from 1 species